GAAAUUUGAGGACGGAACUGGCAGCCGUCGCCCAUGCUAGGAGAUGUGGGAAUGUCACCCCACCAAAUUUC
rnacentral:ncRNA from 12 species